rnacentral:rRNA from 1 species
GACGAACGCUGGCGGCGUGCUUAACACAUGCAAGUCGAACGGAAAGGCCUGCUUUCCCUUGUGGAUUGCGGGUGCUCGAGUGGCGAACGGGUGAGUAACACGUGAGUGAUCUGUCCCCAACUUGGGUAUAAGCCUGGGAAACUGGGUCUAAUUCCCGAUAGGACUGCAGGGUGGUGCCUGUGGUGGAAAACGAUUUUCUAGUGGUUGGGGAUGAGCUCGCGGCCUAUCAGCUUGUUGGUGGGGUAAUGGCCUACCAAGGCGGCGACGGGUAGCCGGCCUGGGAGGGUGGACGGCCACAUUGGGACUGAGAUACGGCCCAGACUCCUACGGGAGGCAGCAGUGGGGAAUAUUGCACAAUGGGCGGAAGCCUGAUGCAGCGACGCCGCGUGGGGGAUGACGGCCUUCGGGUUGUAAACUCCUUUCGACCGCGAGGAAGCCACCUGGUUGGAAGGGUGGUGACGGUAGUGGUAGAAGAAGCACCGGCUAACUACGUG